CCCCCUAACCAUCCUCCAGCAAAGGACAUCCUCACUACCUAAUUGUCUGAUCUUCUGAAAUAAUCAAUGGGUUUUUAUUGAUAAAGUUUGUUCCUGGAGGAUACAAUGAGGGCUCCAGGACCUGGGAACACUGCUUCAAUGAGUACCAACCUCCAACAUGUUGAACCCCAGUGACAUUUUCCAUCCAGGCCAAAACAUACAGGCAGUGAUUGAGCAGAACCUUCAUAGCACAGAAUCUCUUCAGGAUGGAAAACCAGAUGGUGCUUCUCCUCAUUUUUCCAACAGGAAACACAAACUAAAGUUGUUUAUCCAGUUUGGUUGAAGAAAGGGAGGAAGGGGUCUUGCAUCCCCAUCUCCACUCAUCUCCAGACUGCAAGGUAGAGAUGGAUUCCCCUGAAGGAUCUCAAGGGCAUUUGUAGGGCAGACCUCCCCCUCCCAUCACCUCCACAGAACCAUGCUUCAGGUCCUCCAGUUGCUGAAGGAGUUUAUCAGGAAGGCUGCAUUACAGCAUCAGAGAAGCUGUCUCUGAGCAAGACUUGGAGGGUAGGAUCUACUGGAGCCUCAGUUGGAGGAAAGACAUUAUUCGGACCCUGUGGCACAGGGUACCAUCCACCAUCUUCCUCAGGAAUAGGAAGUCUCUCUGUCAACCCUGCAAAAGGAAGAGGAGCCUCUUCUCAUUUGACCCAAGAGCAGAAGUCUUUCUGCUAAGCACGGGAGAGCUCCAAGGUAGCUCAGACACCAGAGGUCCAACAGGGCAUAGGUGCACAGCACCAGGAUGGCCAGUAGAGGGAACAGGAAAGCUGGGGCUGGGUCAGUCUUGAACUCUAGGUUCUGUGAAAACAGCCUGUGCAUGCCUGGCUUCUAUGCAGCAAACACAAUUGUCAUGUCUGAACACUUCCCUACAGUUUACUUUUUUUUUUUGUCUGAGUGUUCUUAAUGUGGCCUGAGAGCACAGCCUAAAAUAAUUUUGCAAGGAAAGUGAAUGUUCUCAGUAAACCAGAUACUCCAUUCAAAAUGGAAAUUAUCAUUCCAAA